GACGAACGCUGGCGGCGUGCCUAAUACAUGCAAGUUGAGCGAUGAAGAUUGGUGCUUGCACCAAUUUGCAGAGCAGCGAACGGGUGAGUAACGCGUGGGGAAUCUGCCUUUGAGCGGGGGACAACAUUUGGAAACGAAUGCUAAUACCGCAUAACAACUUUAAACAUAAGUUUUAAGUUUGAAAGAUGCAAUUGCAUCACUCAAAGAUGAUCCCGCGUUGUAUUAGCUAGUUGGUGAGGUAAAGGCUCACCAAGGCGAUGAUACAUAGCCGACCUGAGAGGGUGAUCGGCCACAUUGGGACUGAGACACGGCCCAAACUCCUACGGGAGGCAGCAGUAGGGAAUCUUCGGCAAUGGACGAAAGUCUGACCGAGCAACGCCGCGUGAGUGAAGAAGGUUUUCGGAUCGUAAAACUCUGUUGGUAGAGAAGAACGUUGGUGAGAGUGGAAAGCUCAUCAAGUGACGGUAACUACCCAGAAAGGGACGGCUAACUACGUG
rnacentral:rRNA from 1 species